GCAGGUGUACUGCUGUCAACAGAGGCUCAUAAAUAUCCCACCAGUGAUCCGAGAUGGAUUACAUGUUCGUGUCAUCAUAUUAAAGGGUCUUUGUCAGCAAACACUUCUAAGGAGAUGUAAUCUUCCGCCUAUGCGAAAAGUCCCCUCUCCUUUCAAAGGGAGUUCACGGUUGCUCAACAAAUUAGUCCCUCUAUUCACAACCAGAGGAUGUGUCCAUCCCUCAGGGUGUGUGUGUGUUAGGUGCAUUGAUUUGUAAAGUGAUUAUUGGUUGUAAUUGAAAUUAAUAUGGCAAAAAAACAAACAUAUUCUACCCUUUGUGAUACACGCUGCCCCUUUAGGUGUGUGUACAGUAUUUCUGCAUGUAUAACUUCUGUUGUUUUUGUUACUUAAUUUAUAUUUUCGGGUGUGCGAUUACGUUUGUAUUUAUUUAAAAAAGUAAAAUACUAAGCCUUUAAUUACAUUAAAUGUAAAGCCUUGAAAACAGUUCCCUAGAUAACCUUAUGUCCUUGUAAAAAAUCUUAAAACAUUUAACAAGCUACUCCUAAAACCUCUUUAAAAAUGUAAUGUUUUGGGCGGCAGUACUGUAGCUCAGUCUGUAUGGACUAGGCUCCUCCUGACCGGACCAAAAUACAACUGGUGGACUGGUAGUUCAUGAAUGGCAGCCCUUUCGCUCUGCCACCUCUCCCCUACAUUGCAUGUGGUCCUGUUAGUGCAUGUGCUCAUGUGUAUAAAAACUGAGUGUAAUGCAAAUAACUCCAGAGUGAGGUCUAACUAUCCUAUAAUGACCACCAUCAUUACCCUGUAUCUUUACUUCCUCUUCUUUAAUUCCUCCUCAGGCUUUCCUCUGUGCCCCUUCUUUUGUAUUGCCUUGUCUUCCAUGUCUCGUCUGGUGUCACCUGUCAUGUCUGACUCAAAAACAGUACAGCUUACGUAACAUGCAGACUGAAGAGUGCAUUACAAUUUUAUCACCGUUGAAGCUACACCUUGCUCAAAUAUGUACACAACAGUGACAUGUUUACCACUCUGUAGUUGUUAUUUUAGUGUCACGUUUCCCUCCCUCUGCCCCUCUCUCCUCUGCAGCCCCCCGAGACCCUGCUGUGUCCAAAUAAAGGCUGCAAACAGCACCACCGGCGUCCUGACUGGAUGUUUCCCCAUAUUACCCACAGCGCUUUGCAGAGCCCCUAUCACCAUUGGUGUUGCACAGAGACUCAGCAGCUCCACUCGUGUUCCUUCUUCAGGACUCGAUCGGUGUGUUUCCCUGCAUGCUCAGAAUAAGCCCAGAGAUCUCCAAUUACCCUCCUCUCACGGAUUGCUCGGUGUCACUCGCAUCUGCCGGCUGGAUCUGAUGUUUCUGCGCCUGCAGUGUAAAAGGAUAGUUGUUCAGUUCUCCUGGCGCACACUGUGCCCGUUACAACUCAAUCGGAGCACUUUUAAGACAUAGCAAAGUUACUAAUUGAAAAAAUUCAAGCUGGAGCGCUUGGGCUUGUUCUCACCCUCUUUAGCACAGCAGACACAUUCCUUAUUUUAGUUCACCUGUUAGAGCCCUGGAGGGUCAGUUUCCCUGCAUGCAUCCAUGGUAUGCAGCAGCAUUGAGACAUUUCUCCGGAGACUUGGCAGGCACACUUCUGACUAAAGGAGAACAGGAGAUCAGUGGAGAAAUGAUAUUCACCCUUACUUAAAGCAGAAGAUAAUUAAUGGUGUUCUGAUUGACGUUCUGUAAUUUGUGUCCUGAUGUUUAAUUGCACUUAUAGUAAAUUGUUUUGGAUCAAAGACGCUAAGUGUAAUCAUAAAAUAUAACUAUAAGGCCUGAUUCAGUCAGACAGCCUGAAACCGAACACGCAUCACUCUAUCCUCUGACACUUGGAUGCAGAAGCUGUCGAGAUAUCAGAUAUUGAGAGAACCAGGCAGCACACAUCACUCAUUCCUCAGACGUGAAAAUAGAUUGUGCCAGAAUAAGCUCCCAUUUUGUGCCAUGGAGAAGGCUUUCUGCUGCAGCGACUGUAUGGCGUCCUCGCAUGUACUGCUAAGUCCAGGGAAAAAAGAGUUGACUGUACAGAAACACAGUACUGUGAACAGGGCUCCGGCUAACCUGAUAUGGGCGCAGGUUGCCGGGGACAAGUUCACAUUGAACUGAAGGGAGGGGGGGAGGUUUAGCAAAAAAAAAACAAAAUGACAGGAAGAGUGAAGACACCAUCCGUCCAUCUCUUUUGUUUCAGAAUCCUCCGUUUCUGACACUGUUUCUGUUAUUGAUAGCUCUUUUGGACACCAGAGGUGGACUGAAUGGGGGUUAUCUGUUGCCUCCUGGGAACAGCAUCCUGAUGCUGUCUGGGUGUGUGAAGCAGAACUCCAGCAUCAGUGAUUUUGUUGCCAGGGGGAGGACUGUACCAGCGGGAACUUAUUAAUAAAUGUGGCUGUUUGGAAGUUACAUGAUGAAAGGGAUGAAUGUUACAGUGCAAAUUACAGCAGCAGCUUAAGUACUGGAGCACAUUAAGAGUAAUUGUAGUAUAGAAGUUGUAAGAAUCUAUUCUAUUUGAAUUAGUAAAAAUCAGUGCUGGACAGCAAUUAAGUACAUUUACUCAAGUACUGUCCAUAAGUAGAAGUGUAAGGUACUUUACUUUACUACUACUUUGUACUCUAAAGCUAAGAGGCAAAUAAUGGUCAUUUAUCUUCACUUCAUUCGUUUCAUAAUGUUGGUUAUACUUUGAAGACGCAGAUUAAUAAAACUAAAUAAAUGUAUCAUUUUAUGUUACAGAGAUUUAAAGUGGUAACAUAUUGUCUGGCAGUGGCUCAGUCAUUAGGGACUUGGACUGGGAGCUUUAGGCUCGCCGGUUCAAGGCCCCGAACAGCCCUAAAAUAUGGAGUCUGGACUGCUUCUUGUAGAGGCCUCAGUUUACCUCCUGGGUGCUCUUGAACAAGCCCUUUGCUCCCUGGGCGCUGAACGAUAGCUGCCCACUGCUCCUAGUACUAGGAAGGGUUAAAUGCAGUGAUCGAAUUUCACUGUGUGUGCAUGUAUGUGUGACAAAUAAACAGGGUUUCAUCCUCCUAUUGUAAUAUAAUGUGCACAAACCACUAAAUGUUAUGAUCAACUAUGACUUUCUUUCCCUUAACAGUUCUCUUUGAGAUGAACAAACUCAUUGCACAAUUCCAACGGGUUAUAAUGAAACUGCAUUGACCCUCUGUUACCCAGCUGUAUAUUUAGUAAACUCCCAGCUGCCUUACCAGCUGCCACAUAAAAGUGAUGGACACAUUGAUCGCAUCAAUAAUAAGAGUUUAAUAAUAUAUAUUCUGAAAAAACAUGUUGUGCAAUAAGCGUGUUUGACCUGAUGUCAACUCUGUAAGCUAACACUCUGUAAGGGAUGAGCUCCUCCUGCAGGCAGGGAUGUAUGGGACAUUUGAUUUUUGCAUGGUAAGAACAUUUUGAUGAAUAGUUUUGUACUUUAUAACUUCGGUAUUACUACUUGUACUUAAGUAAAAGUAAUGCAUACUUUGUCCACCGAUGUUACAAGUUGAAGUAGCUGCAUCAAUGGAAGAACAGUAAUAGUCAAAUGUGUACACAGAGUUAUUGUUUCAUACUUUAUGGCAAUGUAUGUAUAGACACCACAUUUCAAAAGUGUAAUUUCAUGUUUGUUUUUGAUCACCUGAGAAUAAAUGAAGAGCUGCUGCAGUUCUCUCCUCUGCCUCCGUGCUGCCUGCUGUUCUGCUGUCAGCCUCUAGAGGGAGCUAAUGUUCACUGCUGCACCUGGUAAGACCAUGCACCAAAAACAGUACGCAAUUUUAAUCUGAUCAGUUUAGUGUAUAAAUAAAUGUUCCAAAUCGCUUUAUCAAGAAUAAUAUAUUUACAUCUUUAUGGUCUAAUUGACAUCUAAUAAUGUCAAACACAACAAAAACCACUGUAACACCACACUCUAGUGUUCACAGUGGUAUCACUUACAUUUGAACCACCAUUUAUCCAACGAGUAAAUACAUAAAAAGUAUAGGGUAUUUAUCUAUUACUCAGUCCACUUGAGGAACUGGGUGACCGAUCUCCAUAUUAUCUUUUGUUGUGAUGACAGCUCAGUAUGAACUCAUCAUAUAGUCAUUUAAAAGCUGGUUUCUAGAGAAUUCUGGAGAAUGAAGAGCUUUAUACUGUCAUGGAUUAUCUGGUGCAAUGGUGUUGAAGAGAGGUAUAAUUAUCAAGUUGUGAAGGUAAUGGGAAAAGGACUAGAAAUAAAGCUCCUAAAAUGACAAAUAAAAAACGUAUUAAUGGCAACAACAAAACAAGAGGAAUUCUUCAAUUAUUUUGAGUCCACUACAUGGAAACCAAAAGAUAUGUUUGUUGUGCAUUGCCACUGUCACUGCUCUUGUGUUUGAAUGAAUGUAGGCAUGGUAAAACUGUUAAGAAUUGUCACUGUGACAUCCACUCUGCUGUUGUGUUGCAUUAGCCCGGUAAGAUAUUGAUCCCCUUCCUGCACUGUGCUGCUGCAGACAGGCCAGCAGCCUCCAGGGUGCUCGCUGUAAAUCUGAGCUCUUUGUCCUUCCUCUGUCCUCACAUCCUCUCUCUUCAUCACCUCCACUCACUACCUCCUCUGAUCUACUCUCCUUAUUUCAUUCCCCCCCUCCUCCUCCUCUCUUUUUCUGUGCAUAACCUCCAUCCCCUCUCUCCGUCCAUAUGGUUCCCCUCAAUGCCUCAGCGUCCGCCGUGCAGUAAGAGUAAAUGAGCGGGGCUCGCACAAUGCAAGGUAGGAAAAAGAAAUAUGCUGGUGUCAUGCGUGGUGAGGAUGCAGGGGGUGUUGCAACACAUUUUGCAGCGUCAUGAUGCAGCACAUUUUGAAAGCAAUGCAUAUCUGUUUAAAACAUAUGUUCCUCCCUUUCUUUUUGCAGAGUUAAAAUACUUCAGGGAUGGAGCUAUGCUGGUGAUUUCACUGGACGGUUUUAAUUGGCUUUCUAAAAAGAGAUGCAGUGACAAAGACAUCAAGAAAAGGAAUGAAGAGCUCCAGCUGUUCAUAUCCUCAGGUCAGAUGGUCCAGGCUGAUGAAGAGCUGCAGUCCAUCACCUGCAUCCUCGAUCAGAGAGGAACUGCAUCCUCUGAGUUAUGGAGGAACAGUGACUGCAGAUCGAGUCGGGUAGCGCCGCCAAAACCUAUCUCUACCCCUCCUCGACAUCGGAAUUCAACCCUCUCUUCCUUGGUUUCUUUUGUCCCAGAUUACCCAAAGGAAACCCCAUGGACUAGACUUAUUCUAAACAUGCAGGACAUUUUCAGCUUGAUCAAAAAGGAUUCAAACAUGGUGACCCAGCAGGACAGCGUCACGAUGAAUCAGCUUAAUAGGUUUAUUAUUUUCUGUGAUGAGGACAUACCACUUCAGUGUUUAGGGGACAUAACCUCUGAGGAUUGUCGGACAUCUAAAGGGGAUACUGACUGGCAUUUUAGUGACAACAACAUGUUAGUCACCGCCCAUGCUCCCAACACAAACAACUCUAACAGGAAUAAAUAUGAACUGGUUAUCAGAGACCAUUUUAACAACCUUAAAAGUCUUCUGAAGUCUUGUCAAAUCUACGGUGCACCAGGAGAACUUUCUGUUGUAAACGCGGAUGGAGGAAUAAGGAAGAGUGUUUCUUUUGAUGAUGAAGUCAUUGUCUACCUGUUUGAUCAGGUACUGGUUUCUUGUUUGGGUUUCUGACUUUCUUUUUCAGUGGGAUAUGCAUGGUAAAUAUGCUUUUAUAAUUUAAACCUAGGCUUCAUCUGUUUCCUGUUUAAUCUAUACUGACUUUCCACUCUUAGGAGAGUCCCACCAUGGAGCUGCACCCUGAGGCCUGCCCAUCUCUGCCUGAUGUCACAUUAGAUGACACAGGCCUGGAGUGGGAAGACGACUUCUCAGCGUUGGAGAAGAACUGCCAUUUUCAGUGUGUAACACACUCUCAGCAACACACCCUUCCCCUGCCGACACCGAGCACCGCUGCUUUAUCCCGGCGUCUCUUUCUCUCACAAACCUGCCUUUUUCUCACCCAUGUCACGGAGGCAGACCUUGAGCCAUGAGAUAAAAAGCCAACCUUGGCCUAAUGGAAAAACUGACUAAUCGGGCUGAUCUGGUCCUCUUCACCUUCUCCCUCCUCUUUUAUGAUGAGUCAGGGACUUUAAUGGCUUUUUCUCCCUCUCUCUGCUUGAAAGCACCUGCCGUUCGUGACAUCAGAGCCACGCAGGACUGUGUGACGGUGCAUUCAGCUUUCACAGUUGUUGGUGUGACAAGAUCGCUGGAAAUUAUGUGACAAAAAAACAGCCAGUUGCAUAAAAGAGCUGGUACCUUUCCAGCUGUGGACCUCUUUGGAAGCUGCUUUCCAUGCCAGGUCUUUUGACCUUAUCUGUGAAUGGAAACACGAAUGUCAAU